AGAGUUUGAUCCUGGCUCAGGACGAACGCUGGCGGCGUGCUUAACACAUGCAAGUCGAGCGGUAAGGCCCUUCGGGGUACACGAGCGGCGAACGGGUGAGUAACACGUGGGUGACCUGCCCUCAGCUCUGGGAUAAGCCUGGGAAACUGGGUCUAAUACCGGAUAUGACCUUUCCCUGCAUGGGGUUUGGUGGAAAGAUUUUCGGCUGGGGAUGGGCCCGCGGCCUAUCAGCUUGUUGGUGGGGUGAUGGCCUACCAAGGCGACGACGGGUAGCCGGCCUGAGAGGGCGACCGGCCACACUGGGACUGAGACACGGCCCAGACUCCUACGGGAGGCAGCAGUGGGGAAUAUUGCGCAAUGGGCGGAAGCCUGACGCAGCGACGCCGCGUGGGGGAUGACGGCCUUCGGGUUGUAAACCUCUUUCGACCUUGACGAAGGCCUUCGGGUUGACGGUAGGGGUAGAAGAAGCACCGGCCAACUACGUGCCAGCAGCCGCGGUAAUACGUAGGGUGCGAGCGUUGUCCGGAAUUAUUGGGCGUAAAGAGCUCGUAGGCGGUCUGUCGCGUCGGUCGUGAAAACUUGGGGCUUAACCCUGAGCUUGCGGUCGAUACGGGCAUGACUGGAGUUCGGCAGGGGAGACUGGAAUUCCUGGUGUAGCGGUGAAAUGCGCAGAUAUCAGGAGGAACACCGGUGGCGAAGGCGGGUCUCUGGGCCGAUACUGACGCUGAGGAGCGAAAGCGUGGGGAGCGAACAGGAUUAGAUACCCUGGUAGUCCACGCCGUAAACGGUGGGCGCUAGGUGUGGGGGCCAUUCCACGG
rnacentral:rRNA from 1 species